UACGGAGGUGGCAAGCGUUGUCCGGAUUUACUGGGCGUAAAGGGCGCGUAGGCGGCUUUUCAAGUGACGGGUGAAAUCCCUCGGCUUAACCGAGGAACUGCCUGUCAGACUGGAAGGCUUGAGACCGGGAGAGGUGAGUGGAAUUCCCAGUGUAGCGGUGAAAUGCGUAGAUAUUGGGAGGAACACCAGUGGCGAAGGCGGCUCACUGGACCGGAACUGACGCUGAGGCGCGAAAGCGUGGGGAGCAAACAGG
rnacentral:rRNA from 1 species